rnacentral:snRNA from 1 species
AGGUGAGGGCCAUCUUGCUGUGACAUUUGUCACCCCAUUGGGCACCAGGGUUGUUUUGGUUGAUCUGGCUGGCUAGGUGGUGGAACUUCCCCACCUAGAGCUAGCUGUACCUCCCCCAAAGGCUAUGUGCUCAGGUAGAAGAGGACAGCCUUAUCUGAGGAGGAAGACUCCAGUCAAGGGUGUUCAGUAGCUUCACUCUCCUGCUAGAACCUCCAAACAAGCUCUCACGAAACAGAAUGCCUGUAAUUCAAAACCUACGAAAGGACAGAGACUCCCAGGGUUGAUUGUACAAUGUACAACACUGCCUCU